ensembl:snRNA U2 U2 spliceosomal RNA
AUCGCUUCUUGGCCUUUUGGCUAAGAUCAAGUGUAGUAAAAAUUAUAUUUGUAUAUAGAACUAAGUUGGCUAUAAUUAAAAGACUGAGCUUUCUAUGUCAAAAGCAAUAAGUUUUUCUUGAGAUCUUAAAAUUCUCUUGGUUAAAUUAGAUUUU